UUCUAAAGAUGAGGUAUGGCAUUGUCAAUUUUAAAAAAUAAGGUACGAAAGUGUCGUGACACCAAUAAUUGAGGUAGUUUUUUGUACUUUACCCUAGUUAAAUUUUUACCCCGCCAUUCUAAUAAUGUAAAUGUAAUCUUGUUGCAGAAUAUGCAUACACUCUCAGAGUGAAUGAGAAGAGCGAUAUAUACAGUUUCGGCGUGGUUAUUCUAGAGCUGGUGACCGGGAGACUCCCAGUCGACCCAGAGUUCGGAGAAAAGGACUUGUGAAAUGGGUCUGCACCACAUUGGACCAGAAAGGAGUAGACAGUGUAGUUGACCCAAAACUUGAAUCUUGUUACAAGGAAGAAGUGGGCAAGGCCCUCAACAUUGGCCUCCUCUGCACCAGCCCUCUCCCGAUUAAUCGUCCAUCUAUGAGACGAGUAGUGAAAUUGUUGCAAGAAGUUGGCACAGAGAAACAUCCCCAGACUGCUAAAAAGGAGGGGAAAUUGUCACCCUAUUAUUACGAAGAUGCCUCGGAUCAUGGAAGCGUAGCUUGAGACGUAUGAAGUUCGUAUAGUUUUCUUGCAAACAAAACGAGUGUGGGGGAAGUUUUUUAUGUAAGCUUUAUAUUUCCAGUUUUUGAAGCUUUCUAAAAUCCAACUUCCCAAAUAUCUCACCCUCCUCUAGGGUUUUGGUCCCAGAGAUCAGGGGAGGGGAAGAAGUUGAAGAGGAAGUAUAUUAGAGAAGAGUAAAAGUUACGAGGGGGUUAAAUUAUUCCGUACUGUAAAAGUAAGCUUACGCAGUAACUUGCCCUCCUUCCUCGGUGAAAGUGAUGUAAACACUGUUUAGUGAUUGUGAUUCUUCGUGUGAAAUCAGUCAGGUGAUCUAUAUGAAACGGGAAUUGCUAAGACAAUAUUCUGCAAUUAUACCUGUUCCAGGUUUUAAUGUUGUUGUGAGCUUUAUACAGAGGUUUUUACCCCCUUAGAAGAACCCUAUUGAGAGAACUUCACUCUGCACUUGGAACGUCACAGGAGCGGUAUUUAUGCAUUGUAAAGUACAGCGCAUAACAAACGUAAUGACAAUGCGUGAUUAGCUUGAAUGUUGGUACAGUGCGGGAUUUAGUUAUGCAUGAUAGUGCGUGAUUAACUUAAAAUAUCGAAACAAUACUUGAUUAGAUAAACACGUUUAAAAUAAGAGUGACAAUCCCAUGUGCAAGUAAGCUCAUCUUCCAUAAAUAAGACAGGUAAGGAUUGGACCUCACUGGGGUCCAUUGCCAACUGAGUGAAAAGUGACCCUUGUUUGAGCUGCCUCCUAUGGAAAAUGACCAGCAAGGACAACAUCACAGAGAGAGAGAGAGAGAGAGAGAGAGAGAGAGAGGGUGGUUGCCUGUUUGGUGGGAUUGAUUGUCCAGCAGAGGAAAUUUAGUUAGAACUUUGGAAAAAUUGCUGAAUCGAAACAAGCUCUGGGUGAGAGGGGAAUCGUAUGCAAAUGGAAGCCGAAGAGGAAAGGUGGUCAGGGCCUGUACGCUGCUGCAACAGUGAGCUAUAAAAGGCUAAAUUAAUGACCCACCCAAAUGCGUGAACAAAUUUGGUACCAGUUAAUUCCGAGUUGUUCCAUCCCGUGAGCAAAAUCCAAAUCCAUUUUCCACCAUGGUCCAUACAGGCUACAGCCUCUCCAAUGGAUUCAAUGCCGUGACUGCAGAUUUAGGACUAGUGAGUGAGCCCAGACAGCUCAAGACAAAAGAUGCAAGAAUACAGAAAUGUAUAAGUCAAGUUUUACAGAGAUGCUAUGGUAGCCAAUCCCAGAUGGGUCUGUUUUUUUCUUUUUCUUGAAAAAAAAAAAAAAAAAAAAAAAAAAAACAAUAUCAUCUCCACUAAAGUGGAGAGGGUAACUUUAGCCUCCCAAUAAGUUCACAAUAAUAUGGUUUAAAUUCGUCUUUGGCUAGAA